UGGCCGGCGGCGAUUUCGCGGGUUCUCGACGAGUCGCGGCUGCGAUCCGCUGCCGUGUGUCAGUCGGUGGCGGCGCGUCGCCGUGUUCGCAUUGUGUGUGUCUCUCGUUGUUCCUCGGUGUCGUCGCACCCCCGAGCCACCCCUAAUACCCUUCGAUUGCAUCUCCGCCGUCUUCGCUGUGACAUCAUUCUUCGCAUCAUCUGACGUCAUUGUUUCACCCUUUUAUCGAGAUUUACAGCCGACGACGCAAAAUGGGAACGUCGCUCGUGAUCCCCGUCGGGAAGGAUCCCUCGAGAUGCCGCCGCGAGGACGUCGCACAGGAUGGCGCACGGUGUCCUUGAAGGGAAGAUGCACUUUGCGAAGAUGCACGUGUGAUAUGGAACAGGCAGCGACAAAAUGUUGAUCAAGGAGUAUCGUAUACCGAUGCCUCUCACGGUAGAGGAGUAUCGAAUCGCUCAGCUGUACAUGAUAGCGAAAAAGUCUCGGGAGGAGAGCACAGGCGCCGGUAGCGGCGUGGAGAUAAUCGAGAACAAGCCGUACAGCGAUGGUCCAGGUGGUGACGGCCAGUACACGCUGAAGAUCUAUCACGUGGGUAGUCACCUGCCGGGCUGGUUCAAGAGCCUGCUGCCCAAGUCGGCGUUGAUCGCCAAGGAGGAGGCAUGGAACGCUUACCCCUACACCAAGACCCGUUACACGUGCCCGUUCGUGGAGAAGCUCUCCGUCGAGGUCGAGACGUACUACUUCCCGGACAACGGCCACCAGGAUAACGUCUUCCAGCUCAGCGGCAGUGAUUACAGGAAUAGGGUCGUGGAUGUCAUCGACAUCGUCAAGGACCAGCUUUACGGCUCCGACUACGUGAAGGAGGAGGACCCCAAGAUGUACGUGUCGGAGAAGACCGGGAGGGGCCCGCUGGAGGACACCUGGCUGGAGGAUUAUUGGGCCGAUGUGGAAGGACAACAACAGCCAUCGCCUUCGGGAAAGUCACUAAUGUGCGCGUACAAGCUAUGCCGAGUAGAGUUCCGUUAUUGGGGCAUGCAAGCGAAAUUAGAAAAGUUCAUACACGACGUAGCUCUGCGGAAGACGAUGUUGCGGGCGCACAUACAGGCCUGGGCUUGGCAGGACGAGUGGAAUGGUCUGACGAUGGAGGACAUCAGGGAGAUUGAGCGGCAGACGCAGCUGGCGCUGCAGCGGAAGAUGGGCCUGGCUGAUUCGGAGGACGAGCUCGGCGAGAGCCAGGAGGCGAAGGCGAUUGCCGCGACGUCGGCGACGGCAGCCGGUGCGGCGACGGCUGCGACAGGGGCGAGCGUCGCAAUGACGCCGCAGGAGUCGGACGUCGCCAAGACGUUGGCAGCCACCUUGGGCAGCAUCGAGAAGAACGAAGAGGCGCAGAGCCCGUUGUCCGUCAGGAAGCCAUCCGACAUCCCCAUCAUCAACACGGCGGCCAGCUCCGAGGGCGAGAUCAGCCCCGAGGACUCGCCGACCGACCAGGACGAGACCAGAGCCGCGGCCGUCGACGAGAAGGCGGAUGGCAAGAAGAAAUGGCGGAAGAGCAACGCGGCCAUGCACUCACCGAGUUCCAACAAAAGUUUCGACAUCCAGAUCGCGAACUGGAGAAUGGAGAGCAUCGUCCGGGAGUCCGAGUCCGGCAGCGACGACGAGUUCUUCGACUGUCAGGAGGACUUUGAAGAUAGCCCUUCAUUAGCUAAAUGGAGUUCUUUGGAUCUUCUAGCAGAAGGGGAAGACACGACUGUACGUACACCGCCUGCGGCGAAUGAGCAAGCAGACACGAUAUUUUCGCCUUCGUAUCUGCAGCGCGUCGCCAGCGAACGAAACAGCAAGAGACUGCAGAUCUGCUCGUCGACCAGUAUCGACGUAUCAUGUCCAGCAUCGCCUCAACACUCUCCAACGCAUCAGCCAUGCAAGAUCACCGUGCUAAUUAUCGUGGUGCACGCUGGCAGUGUUUUGGACGCGAACGUCGAUUUAACGGCGAAGAAAUCGGACAUCAUGACAUUCCGCGGAGCUUUCGAGUCCGUCAUGAGACAGCAUUAUCCCAGUAUGGUCGGGCAUGUCUCCAUUAAAUUCGUCGCCUGCCCUUCUGUCUGCACCGAGGGGCUUGGAAUCUUGUCAAGUCUGAGUCCGUACAGCUUCGACGUGUCGCCCUCCUGCAUGGACGCUCCUCCAGUCACGCACGACACCAUUCCGAUCGGCGCUAUACCGCUGCUGGCGAGCUCGAGCUCGGAUUAUCAAGAUGCGGUGUCGCGCGUUGUGAUUGGCGCUAAUCAAGUGUACCACGACUUCAUCAAAAGCGACGAGGGCAAAGGUUUCUCCGGGCAAAUUUGCUUCGUGGGCGACUCAGUUGGUUCGAUCUUGACCUAUGACGCAUUGUGCAGAGCGAUGCAGCAUUCGCGGCAAAGCAGCGAGAACAGUAUAUUGGAGACCAGCAAUCAGAAUAAUGAAAACGGUGGAAACGCUGAAGACGGCAAGCAUCUCUCCGCGCCCUCUCCCAGGAGAAGAUCUUCCGGCACGAGUGACAACAAGCUGGACUUCGAGGUGGGUGAUUUCUUCACGUUUGGCAGUCCGCUCGCUUUGGUCCUGGCUUACAGGAAGAUCGCCGCAUCCGGCGACAAAAACAGCUUUAUACCUCGGCCGUUGGUCAAUCAAGUGUACAAUUUAUUCCAUCCCACGGAUCCCGUAGCCGCGAGAUUGGAGCCUUUGAUCUCGGCGAGAUUCUCGCUAAUUCCACCGAUCAAUAUUGCCCGAUAUCAAAAGUAUCCGCUCGGCAAUGGCCAGCCUUAUCACUUGCUGGAGACCAUCCAGACUAACCCGCAGCUGUUCGCUGACGGACUAAAUGUUCCCAAUGUUCAACUGUCGCAUUUAAGAAGACUAUCUGAUAUUUCGCUUCAGAGUACAAUGUCGGGCAUUAUCGACAGUGUUCCUUUACAGGCGGUGUCCGCCCUGACGCAAAAGUGGUGGGGCACCAAGAGACUGGAUUACGCGCUUUAUUGUCCAGAGGGUCUCGCUAAUUUUCCUACAAACGCCUUGCCGCACCUCUUCCACGCUAGUUAUUGGGAAUCUUCGGACGUGAUCGCGUUUAUCCUGAGACAAUUGGGCAGAUUCGAUUUGCAAUUGCUCGGCAAUGAGGACAAAGAUCUCACUUGCUUCCGUCCAGGUCAACCCAGAGAGAAAUGGAAUAAAAAACGUACCUCCGUUAAACUUAAGAAUGUUGCUGCCAAUCACAGAGCGAAUGACGUCAUUGUGAAGGAAGGCGCACCACAAGUACUAAUCGCUAGGUUCAUGUACAGUCCUCUUGAUAUGAUAACUUUAACAGGUGAGAAAGUGGAUAUCCAUAUUAUGCGAGAUGCACCAGCAGGCGAGUGGAUGCACCUUUCCACCGAGGUGACCGACAAAAACGGUAGAAUAAUUUACAAGAUACCGGACGACAAAGCAUUAGGUUACGGGCUUUACCCGGUGAAGAUGGUUGUAAGGGGAGAUCAUACAUCUGUAGAUUUUUUCAUGGCGGUGAUACCCCCGAGAACCGAGUGCGUGGUUUUCAGUAUAGACGGUUCUUUCGCCGCCAGCAGGUCGGUGAGCGGCAAGGAUCCGAAAGUUUGGGCCGGUGCCGUUGAUGUUGUAAGGCAUUGGCAAGAACUGGGUUACCUCAUUAUCUACAUUACCGCGAGGCCCGACAUGCAACAGCAGACGGUGGUUUCCUGGCUGUCGCAACAUAACUUCCCUCACGGUCUCGUCUCAUUCGCCGACGGCCUGUCCAGAGAUCCGCUCGCUCAUAAAGCCGCGUACCUGAAUAAGCUCGUGAAGGAGCACGGCAUGAUAAUCCAUCAGGCGUACGGCAGCGAGAAAGACAUCAGUGUGUACACAGCGAUAAACUUGAAGCCGAGCCAGAUCUUCAUCAUCGGCAAGGUGUCGAAAAGGCACCAGGUCUUGGCGACAAUAUUAUAUGACGGCUAUGCCGCUCAUUUGAGCACGCUGCAGGCGCACGGCGGUUCGCGGCCCGCUCAGGGUAACGCGCGCAUGGUGAUCCCCAGGGGUCAAUUCGGCCUGCCCGGACAGAACGCUUCGCUGCGCCGACGAAGUAACGACACAGCGGUGAACUCCCCGGCGCGCAACAGCGUCUACUUAAAGCGGAAAAUCUACCUUACUCACAUCUAACACACGCCUAUAAUCUACGUACAAUUUACUUACUCACAUUGGUAAUUAUCUACAACCGUCUACUAUUUACUCUGCGGCGUAGGCGCCGACUGCGUGGCGGCGGUCUGAUUGGCAGGCCGACAGAGAUGCAAAAUUAAGAGGCGUUUCAUUGAAUAUUGCGUCAGCAUCAAUUAUGACGGUGCUCUUUAUUGAAAAUGCUUCGUGCAUCCUUCAUCGUCGAUUUUGCGCUAAAUAAUUUCAAAGUUUGAACGGUUAAUUAUUAGCAUAAUAUGUGCAAUUUAUAUAAAUUAGACCGGAAUAUCACAUGAAACAUCCCACGUGAAGCAAUAUUCGUUAUUUGUGUUAGCAAUAGCUGUCGCGUUCAAUCAAUUUGUAAUCGAAUUGCACAAAAUUCUACGUUCCACGUAGACAUUCAUGUUUUGUAACAAUUAGAUUUGCGCGACUAAACAAGUUCAGUAAGUCGUUUGCCCCGGGCAAGCUGAAAGCAGCUGAACCUGCUUAUCGAUGUAAAAAGUUGGCGCCUACGCUCUCUGCUUCUUCCGAAAUCUCCCGCGUAUGUCGCAGCGUGAUUUUAUCGGUAGAAAGAUUGUGUAAAAUUCGGCUCGCUAUAUUCUCUUCUUAUACGCGAAGACGCGAAAUGCGCGUGCAAUAAUUAUAAAAGUUAACAGUUAUUCACAAAAGUGAAUUCUCUAUACAGACAUCAAGAUUUACAUCAGAGUGUUGUCAGCAUCUGUGAAUUAUUUUUCAUGAGAUAACGCGCGUUUUAUGGCGCUUUGGAAUCUCAGUCACUGCAAUUAACGUACGUGAAAGAAAGAUUUCAGGUUUGUAACGAUAUUCUUGAUACCGUCACUGUGAAAUAAAUUAAAAACUGUUAAAAACGCGCGACGCGAUCGUCGUAAUUAGUCGCACAAAUCUGACGAGCCUUUGAAUCGAUGUUUCAAUCGUUUCGUUCGAUGGAAUCUUUCCACCUUUAAGACACGCUGUAUCGACCGUGUUCCAUGCUGUGUCUAAGCAGUAAAAGGGCACCCAUCCGACCCAUGUCGCUGACGAGUCUCUUGAUUGCAGGUACCUGCUAUGAGGAUAUGUCGCGUUGUCUCAGCGUAGUUAAAUAUCACUCUGUCUCUAUCUUUUACUCGGCGAAAAAAGCUGUUGUCGCCACCCUACGCUCGAAACUUAUAGUUUGUCCAUCGGCUAGAGUACCUAAUGUCCAGGAUUUGUGGUUAAUCCGCUCUAUGACCGUCUAGAUACGCCGGGCGAUAGAGUCGUUUUCGUUAUCCUCCCCGAAACGAACCGGUCUCACUUUAGCGACGAAGGGCGGCGAAGCGGGCAAUCUCGCAGCCACCAUUAGACAAGACGCCCUUCCCGUUGGAACGAUCCACAAGCGUGGGCCCACCGGCUACGCAUUCGUCGGCAACACCUGCACACUCGGCGGCGUCUGAGAAACUCUGACGAUUCGCGCGUUGCCGCUCGUUCUUCGAAUCCCGGCGGUAACUCGCGAUGAAAGGACACGAUCACGACUCCUGGUUCCGUAUGCAAUAGUUCCCUCUUCGUUUCGUAGACCCUCGUUUCGUCGUCGACUCGUUAGACUCUUUCGUCGUGGAUCAUGAUUAUACAGUGGCGUUCAUAGUUUCAGAUUUGUGUGCGUGCCGACCGCGUAGAAAGUCCUUAGUCCAUGUCCCGUAGGUUUCUUGAUGCCGUAGACGUCGUUCCUACACACAUCUCAUGGACACUCUCAGUCUUGCGGAUCCUUGUUCUCGCGUGGAUCUCCUUGAUUCCCAUGUGGAUCUUGGCUGUCACGUGGAAUCCCGGUGCUCAGACUUACGGUGUCAUGGGUUUCUUCUUAUUCCUCCUUAGUUCAUCUUACCUUUAUUUGCUCUUUUGUAUUUUCACUUCACGGAGAGAGAAUCCUGAUGUUGGAUAUUUUAAAUAACAAAGUACUCCUCUGAGGACAAAUUUCACACGCGGAAAGGAACGAUUGAAAAGAGAGCCGUGUCGCGGUUAUUAAUACACAGCUAUAUACAGAGUGUUUCAUCAUUAUCGUCACACUCGUGAAUGGCAGAUUCCUAACGAAAAUCCUGACUCGAGAAUAUCGGGAUUGUAAUGGUUUUUAGAUGGGAAGAAUGAAGAAAGGUCGCUUAAGUAUACGCGAAACUGCGAGUUGAAACAAGGUGAGAUUUUCAUAUCUCAGCAAUGGCUGAACCGAUCGAGGUUUUUUUAAUCCCAAUCGAUUCGGCCUUCAAAAAUAGGAAGAAAAGUGUUCUCGUGCUUUUUGUGUACGUUGUCUAUAAGUGGAGAUAUUUUAAGAUAAAGUCUGAAUUACGGAAAAUUUCGAUUCAGUUCAGUAAGAAACGUCGGACGCGAAGGAGUGGGGCAAGACGUGCACAUUGCUUUCCCGACAUCAGGGGCGCUACGAGAGCGCUGAAGAGCAGACAGCAGUGAAUGCGAACAAGCGAGUAAGCGAGAGAGAGUGAGAGAGAGGUGCUUAUUGACUCGUUGUUUAGGAAGAUUGCUCUUCAAUUCUUUUUUAUAACGUAGUAUACAUACAUUAACCUAUUUCUUCCCAAUGUUGCGUAUACGUAACACGAAGUUUAUAUAAUUAAUUACUGACGUCAGUAAUUAUUUUUUUUCACGAAGUGUUAGACUAAUUGUGAAAUAAGUUCAUUUUGACUGCAUUUUGUGAAGUUAAACUUCGCAACAUUGGGAAGAAAUGGUGGGUUAAGUACGCAACAUCGGUGCAUCGUCAUCAGUGGGAUAUACAUUAGUGAUUGAUUAGGAUUUUUUUUAUUAAACAUCAGUGAUUGAUUAAGAAUAUAUACAUACAUUAAGUACGCAACAUCGGUGCAUCGUCAUCAUCAGUGGGAUACAUUAGUGAUUGAUUAGGAUAUUUUUUGAUUAAACAUCAGUGAUUGAUUAAGAA